rnacentral:rRNA from 1 species
CCUACGGGAGGCAGCAGUGAGGAAUAUUGGUCAAUGGACGAGAGUCUGAACCAGCCAAGUAGCGUGAAGGAUGAAGGCCCUAUGGGUUGUAAACUUCUUUUAUAUGGGAAUAAAACAGGGUACGCAUACCCUCUUGGAUGUACCAUAUGAAAAAGGAUCGGAUAAAUCCGUGCCAGCAGCCGCGGUAAUACGGAGGAUAAGAGCGUUAUCCGGAUUUAUUGGGUUUAAAGGGAGCGUAGGUGGAGUGUUAAGUCUGUUGUGAAAGUUGGCGGCUCAACCGUGAAAUUGCUGUUGAAACUGGCUGUCUUGAGUACAGUAGAGGUGUGCGGAAUUCGUGGUGUAGCGGUGAAAUGCUUAGCUAUCACGAAGAACUCCGAUUGCGAAGGCAGCUCACUGGACUGCAACUGACACUGAUGCUCGACAGUGUGGGUAUCAAACAGGAUUAGAUACCCCAGUAGUC